AUUGAACGCUGGCGGCAGGCCUAACACAUGCAAGUCGAGCGGGGUUUUCGGACCUAGCGGCGGACGGGUGAGUAAUGCGUAGGAAGCUGCCCGAUAGAGGGGGAUACCAGUUGGAAACGACUGUUAAUACCGCAUAAUGUCUACGGACCAAAGUGUGGGACCUUCGGGCCACAUGCUAUCGGAUGCGCCUACGUGGGAUUAGCUAGUUGGUGAGGUAAUGGCUCACCAAGGCGACGAUCUCUAGCUGGUUUGAGAGGAUGAUCAGCCACACUGGAACUGAGACACGGUCCAGACUCCUACGGGAGGCAGCAGUGGGGAACAUUGGACAAUGGGCGCAAGCCUGAUCCAGCCAUGCCGCGUGUGUGAAGAAGGCCUCCGGGUUGUAAAGCACUUUCAGCGAGGAGGAAGGGUGGUGUGUUAAUAGCACAUCAUUUUGACGUUACUCGCAGAAGGAGCACCGGCUAACUCUGUGCCAGCCGCCGCGGUAA
rnacentral:rRNA from 1 species